UACAGAGGUCUCAAGCGUUGUUCGGAUUCGUUGGGCGUAAAGGGUGCGCAGGCGGCGCGGUAAGUCGGGUGUGAAAUCUCGGAGCUUAACUCCGAAACUGCAUUCGAUACUGCCGUGCUUGAGGACUGGAGAGGAGACUGGAAUUUACGGUGUAGCGGUGAAAUGCGUAGAUAUCGUAAGGAAGACCAGUGGCGAAGGCGGGUCUCUGGACAGUUCCUGACGCUGAGGCACGAAGGCCAGGGGAGCAAACGGG
rnacentral:rRNA from 1 species